rnacentral:lncRNA from 1 species
UAAGAAAGAAAAAAAAACUGUUAUAAUCUCUUCUGCUUUUGGAGAAAGGGGAAGAUUGUUCAUACAACUGCUGGAAAUAAGGUAAAUUAGGUAUUUAGAGAUUUAGAUCCACACCGAGACCAAUUCUUACCCUCAACCUUUGAGUAGAGGAACUAGAAAACUAGAGCAUAUUUCUAUUGUAUAUUUUGUUGUUGUGUUCUGUGUUGUGAUUAAAUCACUUAAGGUCUAUUUAUAAGCCACACACACUACUAUCAAAUACUACCUCCGUCCCUAAGUAUAAGACCCUUUUGAAAAAAUAACGGAAAUUAAGAUAGUGCGUAUUUGUAUUAAAUAUGUUUGUAAUUACUAUUGUUUUGACAAUUUUAUCCUUUAAGAGAGAGAGUUGGUUUAUGUUUUCAACCUGUUAUUUAUUGCUGAUUGAAGAAAAAAAUGUAUAGUAAAU